CAGCCGCCGCGGGAAUACGAAGGGGGCUAGCGUUGUUCGGAUUUACUGGGCGUAAAGCGCACGUAGGCGGAUCGAUCAGUCAGGGGUGAAAUCCCAGAGCUCAACUCUGGAACUGCCUUUGAUACUGUCGAUCUGGAGUAUGGAAGAGGUGAGUGGAAUUCCGAGUGUAGAGGUGAAAUUCGUAGAUAUUCGGAGGAACACCAGUGGCGAAGGCGGCUCACUGGUCCAUUACUGACGCUGAGGUGCGAAAGCGUGGGGAGCAAACAGGAUUAGAGACCCGCGUAGUCCCUGUCUCUUAUAC
rnacentral:rRNA from 1 species